rnacentral:rRNA from 1 species
AUGCGGGCGAUCUCGUCGGCGGCGGGAGGGAUGCUGCGGGCGCGGCUGAGCGCGGCGGCGCGCCUCCGCGGCGGGCACGGCGACGGCGGUGGCCGCUGGACGACGCCCGGCCACGAGGUGCGGCCCAAGGGGUACCCGAUGAACCGCACGCCGCCGCCGCCGGGCGAGUCGCGCAAGUGGGAGGACUGGGAGCUCCCCUGCUACGUCACCUCCUUCCUCACCGUCGUCAUCCUCGGCGUCGGGCUCAACGCCAAGCCCGACCUCACCCUCGAGACCUGGGCGCACCACAAGGCGCUCGAGCGCCUCCAGCAGCAGGAGCUCGCCGCCGCGUCCGCCUCCGCCGACGCCCUGUCAGAGUGA